rnacentral:rRNA from 1 species
GACAGAGGGUGCAAACGUUGUUCGGAUUUACUGGGUGUAAAGGGCGCGCAGGCGGCACAUUUUGUCAGGCGUGAAAGCCCCCGGGCUUAACCUGGGAACUGCGUUUGAUACGGAUGGGCUAGAGUUCGGGAGAGGAGAGUGGAAUUCCCAGUGUAGAGGUGAAAUUCGUAGAUAUUGGGAAGAACACCGGUGGCGAAGGCGGCUCUCUGGACCGAGACUGACGCUGAGGCGCGAAAGCGUGGGGAGCAAACAGG